CCUACGGGAGGCUGCAGUGGGGAAUAUUGGACAAUGGGCGAAAGCCUGAUCCAGCCAUGCCGCGUGUGUGAAGAAGGCCUUCGGGUUGUAAAGCACUUUCAGUGGGGAAGAAAGCCUUGGGGCUAAUACCCUCGAGGAAGGACAUCACCCACAGAAGAAGCACCGGCUAACUCCGUGCCGGCAGCCGCGGUAAUACGGAGGGUGCGAGCGUUAAUCGGAAUUACUGGGCGUAAAGCGCGCGUAGGCGGUCUGAUAAGCCGGUUGUGAAAGCCCCGGGCUCAACCUGGGAACGGCAUCCGGAACUGUCAGGCUAGAGUGCAGGAGAGGAAGGUAGAAUUCCCGGUGUAGCGGUGAAAUGCGUAGAGAUCGGGAGGAAUACCAGUGGCGAAGGCGGCCUUCUGGACUGACACUGACGCUGAGGUGCGAAAGCGUGGGUAGCAAACAGGAUUAGAUACCCGAGUAGUC
rnacentral:rRNA from 1 species